GCGUUCGAGCGCGUGGGCGCGGCGCGGUCUCCAAAGCCGCAGUCAGCAGGUUCGACUCCUGCCGGGCGUGCGU
rnacentral:tRNA from 1 species